UGAAAGUUACUUCCAAGUAGCUGUUUCUUUCCAAACUUUAAUUUUUCUCUUAUUUUUAAUUAAAAACUUAAUAAAUUUGAAGGUAACACUUAUCUAAUCUCAAAAUAAGUAACUUAUUUUCAAUUUUAACUAAUAAAAACUUACUUUUUUACAUAUAACUUUUAAAUCAUAGCCAAACAUGGGUAACAUAACAAAUCAAAACUAAAGAUUUCAGUUAGCCAACAUUAGUCAAAAGCAUUUCCUUCAGGUAGCCAGUUUCAAAGCCAUCUCUGAUAUUCAAAAUUAAUCAACCUUCACCAUUUUCUGUUGCUUUGAUUUGCAAUAGGUGGCAAAAACAAAGCAAUUUUAUUCUUCCUCCAUUGUAUGCCCUCCAUGAUAUAUGCAAGACAUCCAAACAGGCUCGAGCAAUUCUCGAGCCCUCUG
rnacentral:lncRNA from 1 species